rnacentral:rRNA from 1 species
UACGGAGGGUGCGAGCGUUAUCCGGAUUCACUGGGUUUAAAGGGUGCGUAGGUGGGAAUGUAAGUCAGUGGUGAAAUCUCUGAGCUUAACUCAGAAACUGCCAUUGAUACUAUGUUUCUUGAAUUUUCUGGAGGUCAGCGGAAUAUGUCAUGUAGCGGUGAAAUGCUUAGAUAUGACAUAGAACACCAAUUGCGAAGGCAGCUGGCUACAGGGAUAUUGACACUGAGGCACGAGAGCGUGGGGAUCAAACAGG